rnacentral:rRNA from 1 species
UACGUAGGGUCCAAGCGUUGUCCGGAAUUAUUGGGCGUAAAGGGCUCGUAGGCGGUCUGUUGCGUCGGGAGUGAAAACUCAGGGCUUAACCCUGAGCCUGCUUCCGAUACGGGCAGACUAGAGGUAUGCAGGGGAGAACGGAAUUCCUGGUGUAGCGGUGAAAUGCGCAGAUAUCAGGAGGAACACCGGUGGCGAAGGCGGUUCUCUGGGCAUUACCUGACGCUGAGGAGCGAAAGUGUGGGGAGCGAACAGG